CCUACGGGUGGCAGCAGUGAGGAAUAUUGGUCAUUGGCCGAGAGUCUGAACCAGCCCAGUAGCGUGAAGGAUGACUGCCCUAUGGGUUGUAAACUUCUUUUAUAUGGGAAUAAAACGUUCCACGUGUGGGCUUUUGUAUGUACCAUAUUAAUAAGGAUCGGCUAACUCCGUGCCCGCAGCCUCGGUAAUACGGAGGAUCCGAGCGUUAUCCGGAUUUCUUGGGUUUAAAGGGAGCGUAGGUGGAUUGUUAAGUCAGUUGUGAACGUUUGCGGCGCAACCGUAAAAGUGCAGGUGAAACUGGCAGUCUUGAGUACAGUAGAGGAGGGCGGAAUUCGUGGGGUAGCGGUGAAAUGCUUAGAUAUCACGAAGAACGCCGAUUGCGAAGGCAGCGCACUGGACUGCAACUGACACUGAGGCUCGAAAGUGUGGGUAUCAAACAGGAUUAGAUACCCGAGUAGUC
rnacentral:rRNA from 1 species